CAAACUUACUCUUAAGCGAUACUUAACUGCAGUGGAAACGCAUACUGUGCCGAGCCGAACUGUACCAUACUGAGCCGUGCCGAGCAGAGUCGAGUGCUAUCACGCAGUGGAAAAGCGCCAUAUGAUUACAGACGGAGGAUUCCUGGUUUUAUCUCUGACGUCAUCAUCAUGAGAUUGUCUCCAGUUUUCCAACAUAUGCUGGUGUUCAUAUCAGUCCUGUCACUCACCAGAGUACAAACAACAGCAGGUAAUAGUUUUUUUUUUUUUUUUUUUUUUAAACUGG